GCCAACACGCGUUCACUUCAAUCUAACGCUUUACCACACCAUCCGUCAUUAAAACAUUUCUCUGUACUUCCCAUUCUUAGAGGAACUAAUCUCAAUCUCUCAUAUCAUCUUCACAAUAUAAAAAUCUAGUGUGGUUCUCUCACAGAACUCUUACUCAAAUAUAUUCGCUUAAAAACACACACUCGCAAUUCCACGGCUAACAAAACGCUGAAAUCGAUCUCCACGGCUCAUACUGCUAUUUGCUUCAAGGAUGUUAUUCCCGCUUUUCAAUCCCGUCACACAGCGAGAGGAGGAUUGCUUUGGCCUUGACAUGUUGCUCAUCGAUAAACAGCAGCACGAAAAAAGUCCCUCGAGUAGAGACCAUCGUUUGGUAAUAUUGUACUACAGUGCCAAGAGAGUCCGAAGAAACAAAAAAAAAAAGUAAAAAGGGUGAUGAUGAUAUUUAUUCUACAUAUGAUGUUUCUCAAAACCAGACUGAUGGUUAUUCUUAAGGCAAAGAGAAGAGGAGAGCUAUGCAUCCAAGCCCCACAAUGUGGGACGAACAUUGGCCAUGUUUCCUUAUGCCAUCUCGGUUACCCCAAACAGCAACUGGUAUUGAUAUCAAAAGUGAUGAGAUCAAAAAGAAAGAGGUGCGUCCAUCGGACAAGCAACAUGCCUUAACAACCUCGAGAAACUAGCUUAUGUAGGUUAGGUCUACGAGAUUCUCGGUCAAGUAUGAAAAAUUUCAGGUCAUCGAUAGUUCUUUAAUUCCAGUGGUGCUGAUGAUGAUAACAAAUAUUGUAUCAUUGUUUGUAAUGUGAUUUGAUCGACUCUUUUCAAUCUCUUAUACUGCUUCCUAGAAA